UACGUAGGCGGAAAAUUAAGUUAGUAGUGAAAUCCUGCAGCUUAACUGUGGAACUGUUAUUGAUACUGGUUUUCUUGAAUAUAGUUGAGGUAGGCGGAAUGUGUAAUGUAGCGGUGAAAUGCUUAGAUAUUACACAGAACACCGAUUGCGAAGGCAGCUUACUAAGCUAUGAUUGACGCUGAGGUACGAAAGCGUGGGGAGCGAACAGGAUUAGAUACCCUGGUAGUCC
rnacentral:rRNA from 1 species